rnacentral:rRNA from 1 species
UACGAAGGGUGCAAACGUUGCUCGGAAUUAUUGGGCGUAAAGCGCACGUAGGCGGCAUUGCAAGUCCCAUGUGAAAGCCCACGGCUUAACCGUGGAAGUGCAUGGGAAACUGCAGUGCUUGAGUACUUAAGAGGAUCGCGGAAUUCCCGGUGUAGAGGUGAAAUUCGUAGAUAUCAGGAGGAACACCGAUGGCGAAGGCAGGUCACUGGGCCGCAACUGACGCUGAGGAGCGAAAGCAUGGGGAGCGAACAGG